UACAGAGGUCUCAAGCGUUGUUCGGAUUCAUUGGGCGUAAAGCGCGCGCAGGCGGCCUUUUAAGUCUGAUGUGAAAGCCCCCGGCUCAACCGGGGAGGGUCAUUGGAAACUGGAAGGCUUGAGUGCAGAAGAGAAGAGCGGAAUUCCACGUGUAGCGGUGAAAUGCGUAGAGAUGUGGAGGAACACCAGUGGCGAAGGCGGCUCUUUGGUCUGUAACUGACGCUGAGGCGCGAAAGCGUGGGGAGCAAACAGG
rnacentral:rRNA from 1 species